AACGAACGCUGGCGGCAUGCCUAACACAUGCAAGUCGAACGGGACUCCUGGUUCGGCCAGGUGAGAGUGGCGGACGGGUGAGUAACGCGUGGGAACCUGCCCAGUGGGUGGGGAUAACUGGACGGGAAACUGCAGCUAAUACCGCAUGAGCCCGGAAAGGGAAAGAUUGAUCGCCAUUGGGACGGGGCCCGCGUUCGAUUAGGUAGUUGGUGAGGUAACGGCUCACCAAGCCUUCGAUCGAUAGCUGGUCUGAGAGGAUGAUCA
rnacentral:rRNA from 1 species